AUUGAACGCUGGCGGCAGGCUUAACACAUGCAAGUCGAGCGGGGGGAUGGUGCUUGCACUAUCACUUAGCGGCGGACGGGUGAGUAAUGCUUAGGAGUCUGCCUAUUAGUGGGGGACAACAUCUCGAAAGGGAUGCUAAUACCGCAUACGUCCUACGGGAGAAAGCAGGGGAUCACUUGUGACCUUGCGCUAAUAGAUGAGCCUAAGUCGGAUUAGCUAGUUGGUGGGGUAAAGGCCUACCAAGGCGACGAUCUGUAGCGGGUCUGAGAGGAUGAUCCGCCACACUGGGACUGGGACACGGCCCAGACUCCUACGGGAGGCAGCAGUGGGGAAUAUUGGACAAUGGGGGGAACCCUGAUCCAGCCAUGCCGCGUGUGUGAAGAAGGCCUUAUGGUUGUAAAGCACUUUAAGCGAGGAGGAGGCUCUUUUGGUUAAUACCCAAGAUGAGUGGACGUUACUCGCAGAAUAAGCACCGGCUAACUCUGUGCCAGCCGCCGCCGUAA
rnacentral:rRNA from 1 species